AAAGAGUGGCAGUAUUCCCCUUCUGAUAAAUAUUUGUGGCAUAUAUAUAUUUUUAUCAGAGGAUCGAUGAUUCGGGUCUAAGGGUAUUCUAAUAAUUUGUUUUCCUCUGUGUGCAGUCUUGCAAACGAUGAUCCUAUUGAUGUUGCCAGAAUUAUUUCAUGCAUUUUGGAGUUACGUGCCUAGCUGCAUACAAAUUUUAUUCUACUGCAUGUAUCUGUGAGUCUUGUUAGAAAUUAAUCCAAGUAGCAAGCAAGCAAGCAACCAAAUCCCAGAUUUUUGAUGGGAAGUGUACAAGAAGCAUCAUCCACCCAUGUUGGAAGAUGAAGUUGGGCGCCUGAAGAAAAUUGGGAAAGAUGGAGCUUUUCACAAGAAGCUAGCCUCGGAGAACAUUAACACAGUACAGGACUUUUUGAAGUUGUUUGUGGUUGACCGGUCAAAACUAAUAAGGGUACAAAUAUAUAAAACUUAAUGCAUUUUCCUACAUUCAUGCUUAUUCCAAAUAAUUGGCUAACAGUAACUUUUUUCAAUAAUAUUUUAAACCACCAGAUUUUAGGAGUUGGAAUGUCAGAGAAAAUGUGGGAGGUAACAGUAAAGCAUGCCAGAACCUGCGUUAUGGGCAACAAAAUGUUCAUUCAUCAUGGUGCUCAUUUUGUGCUUUUUUUGAUUCCGAUAUAUGUGAAGGGCUAUGG
rnacentral:lncRNA from 1 species